rnacentral:rRNA from 1 species
AGCGUACACGGUGGAUGCCCUGGCAGUCAGAGGCGAUGAAGGACGUGCUAAUCUGCGAAAAGCGCCGGUAAGGUGAUAUGAACCGUUAUAACCGGCGAUGUCCGAAUGGGGAAACCCGGUGCACUUCGGUGCAUCAUCGUUAGCUGAAUACAUAGGCUAACGAGGCGAACCGGGGGAACUGAAACAUCUAAGUACCCCGAGGAAAAGAAAUCAACCGAGAUUCCCCCAGUAGCGGCGAGCGAACGGGGAACAGCCCAGAGCCUGAAUCAGCUUGUGUGUCAGUGGAACGGUCUGGAAAGGCCGGCGAUACAGGGUGACAGCCCCGUACACGAAGGCACACAGGCUGUGAGCUCGAUGAGUAGGGCGGGACACGUGAUAUCCUGUCUGAAGAUGGGGGGACCAUCCUCCAAGGCUAAAUACUCCUGACUGACCGAUAGUGAACCAGUACCGUGAGGGAAAGGCGAAAAGAACCCCGGCGAGGGGAGUGAAACAGAACCUGAAACCGUGUACGUACAAGCAGUGGGAGCCUUCGUAAGAGGGUGACUGCGUACCUUUUGUAUAAUGGGUCAGCGACUUAUAUUCUGUAGCAAGGUUAACCGUAUAGGGGAGCCGAAGGGAAACCGAGUCUUAAUUGGGCGUUAAGUUGCAGGGUAUAGACCCGAAACCCGGUGAUCUAGCCAUGGGCAGGUUGAAGGUUGGGUAACACUAACUGGAGGACCGAACCGACUAAUGUUGAAAAAUUAGCGGAUGACCUGUGGCUGGGGGUGAAAGGCCAAUCAAACCGGGAGAUAGCUGGUUCUCCCCGAAAGCUAUUUAGGUAGCGCCUCGUGAACUCAUCUCCGGGGGUAGAGCACUGUUUCGGCUAGGGGGCCAUCCCGGCUUACCAACCCGAUGCAAACUGCGAAUACCGGAGAAUGUUAUCACGGGAGACACACGGCGGGUGCUAACGUCCGUCGUGAAGAGGGAAACAACCCAGACCGCCAGCUAAGGUCCCAAAGUCAUGGUUAAGUGGGAAACGAUGUGGGAAGGCCCAGACAGCCAGGAUGUUGGCUUAGAAGCAGCCAUCAUUUAAAGAAAGCGUAAUAGCUCACUGGUCGAGUCGGCCUGCGCGGAAGAUGUAACGGGGCUAAACCAUGCACCGAAGCUGCGGCAGCGACACUAUGUGUUGUUGGGUAGGGGAGCGUUCUGUAAGCCUGUGAAGGUGUGCUGUGAGGCAUGCUGGAGGUAUCAGAAGUGCGAAUGCUGACAUAAGUAACGAUAAAGCGGGUGAAAAGCCCGCUCGCCGGAAGACCAAGGGUUCCUGUCCAACGUUAAUCGGGGCAGGGUGAGUCGACCCCUAAGGCGAGGCCGAAAGGCGUAGUCGAUGGGAAACAGGUUAAUAUUCCUGUACUUGGUGUUACUGCGAAGGGGGGACGGAGAAGGCUAUGUCGGCCGGGCGACGGUUGUCCCGGUUUAAGCGUGUAGGCUGACUUUCCAGGCAAAUCCGGAAGGUUAAGGCUGAGGCGUGAUGACGAGGCACCACGGUGCUGAAGUGACAAAUGCCCUGCUUCCAGGAAAAGCCUCUAAGCAUCAGGUAACAUCAAAUCGUACCCCAAACCGACACAGGUGGUCAGGUAGAGAAUACCAAGGCGCUUGAGAGAACUCGGGUGAAGGAACUAGGCAAAAUGGUGCCGUAACUUCGGGAGAAGGCACGCUGACAUGUAGGUGAAGCCCCUGCGGGUGGAGCUGAAGUCAGUCGAAGAUACCAGCUGGCUGCAACUGUUUAUUAAAAACACAGCACUGUGCAAACACGAAAGUGGACGUAUACGGUGUGACGCCUGCCCGGUGCCGGAAGGUUAAUUGAUGGGGUUAUCGCAAGAGAAGCUCCUGAUCGAAGCCCCGGUAAACGGCGGCCGUAACUAUAACGGUCCUAAGGUAGCGAAAUUCCUUGUCGGGUAAGUUCCGACCUGCACGAAUGGCGUAAUGAUGGCCAGGCUGUCUCCACCCGAGACUCAGUGAAAUUGAACUCGCUGUGAAGAUGCAGUGUACCCGCGGCAAGACGGAAAGACCCCGUGAACCUUUACUACAGCUUGACACUGAACAUUGAGCCUUGAUGUGUAGGAUAGGUGGGAGGCUUUGAAGCGUGGACGCCAGUCUGCGUGGAGCCGACCUUGAAAUACCACCCUUUAAUGUUUGAUGUUCUAACCUGGCGCCGUGAUCCGGCGUGGGGACAGUGUCUGGUGGGUAGUUUGACUGGGGCGGUCUCCUCCCAAAGUGUAACGGAGGAGCACGAAGGUCAGCUAAUCCUGGUCGGACAUCAGGAGGUUAGUGCAAUGGCAUAAGCUGGCUUGACUGCGAGAGUGACGGCUCGAGCAGGUGCGAAAGCAGGUCAUAGUGAUCCGGUGGUUCUGUAUGGAAGGGCCAUCGCUCAACGGAUAAAAGGUACUCCGGGGAUAACAGGCUGAUACCGCCCAAGAGUUCAUAUCGACGGCGGUGUUUGGCACCUCGAUGUCGGCUCAUCACAUCCUGGGGCUGAAGUAGGUCCCAAGGGUAUGGCUGUUCGCCAUUUAAAGUGGUACGCGAGCUGGGUUUAGAACGUCGUGAGACAGUUCGGUCCCUAUCUGCCGUGGGCGCUGGAGAAUUGAGGGGGGCUGCUCCCAGUACGAGAGGACCGGAGUGGACGCAUCACUGGUGUUCGGGUUGUCAUGCCAAUGGCACUGCCCGGUAGCUAAAUGCGGAAGAGAUAAGUGCUGAAAGCAUCUAAGCACGAAACUUGCCCCGAGAUGAGUUCU